rnacentral:rRNA from 1 species
AACGAACGCUGGCGGCAUGCCUAACACAUGCAAGUCGAACGAGCCCUUCGGGGUUAGUGGCGCACGGGUGCGUAACGCGUGGGAAUCUGCCCUUGGGUUCGGAAUAACAGUGAGAAAUUACUGCUAAUACCGGAUGAUGUCUUCGGACCAAAGAUUUAUCGCCCAAGGAUGAGCCCGCGUAGGAUUAGCUAGUUGGUGGGGUAAUGGCCUACCAAGGCGACGAUCCUUAGCUGGUCUGAGAGGAUGAUCAGCCACACUGGGACUGAGACACGGCCCAGACUCCUACGGGAGGCAGCAGUGGGGAAUAUUGGACAAUGGGCGAAAGCCUGAUCCAGCAAUGCCGCGUGAGUGAUGAAGGCCUUAGGGUUGUAAAGCUCUCUUACCCGGGAUGAUAAUGACAGUACCGGGAGAAUAAGCUCCGGCUAACUCCGUG